ensembl:lncRNA
AGUCAGACGUUUAACCUGCUAAAAAAGACAUUUUCAGCUCCAGCGCUGAAGAAGCAGGUCGGAUUUAAUCACCGAUCACCAAAUAGCCCUUUGGUUUAAUUAGGCCAUUUAAAGGUUAACUGCCUUCCACCGCCGAGCUGCCUCCAACUCCGUCAGCUCCACCCGUGUCUCUGGAGAAAAGACCGGAGAACAAUUUUUUUGUAAAGAUGAUGCGUUGCCAAAAAUACCGUCGCUCCAUGUGCAGCACAGACAGAUGUGAACAGCAGCAAUAACUGUGUCCAAUGCACAUAUUACACAAGUCACGUUCUUGUUAUGAAACGAUGGACCUCCAUUCAACUCUUCAGGUGUCCGUCUUGCCCUCGUCUUCAGCUCGGUUUCCACCUGGAGAACACACACACACACACACACACUCCCCACACACGAGGGUCGGUUGGCGGUGUCCGAUCACGCUGAUGGCGCCUCACUGAGAUGUCGGGAACAAUUACCUCUGCCUCGCUGCCACUCAGGCCCCCGGGGGGGGGGGGGCAGUCAUUAUCUUAACCAGAGGCCGCUCGCGACAGUUAAUUCACAUUAACAGCGGCGCCACCUGGUCGCCGGGCUGCAAUCAGACUCAUUAGCGCUCCUGCAAAGCUCCUUGAAGAUGGGACUUUUUGUUUUAUUUUUUUUGGGGGGCGUUUCCGUAAUGCAGCCGCUGUAAACCUGCUCUGACGUAAUCGUCUAAUACAAAGGCGGGAUUUAAUUCAGUCGUGUUCACUCCAACAACACAGUUAAUCCAACUUUCAGCUCUGAGAACACGAGGAGCCGUAUUUUGUAUUCUUGUGGGUGUGACAUCGGCCAAUGAGUUCAUUCCGUUGUUUUUAAUUGAUUAACACAUUUUUUUAAAAUUAGCUGCACAGGAGAUUUGACACUGAUUGAGUCCUUCCGUCUCUUCCUCCUCGUCCCCUUUUUGCUGCUCCUCUCGGCACGAAGACAAACCUCAGUCAACACAAGGGCGGGCCCUCCCGGGUGAUUGACAGGUCGCCACCACAGAGCGGUCAGUGUUUUUGAACCCUUCGACGUUGUGCUUUCACAUGGUGACUGCAGCAGCCUUUUCAGUCGCCUGAAGACGUCUUCGUCCAGUGUCCUUGUGUCUUCUUCAUCGUCUGCACUCAGGGUGUUGAGCUCCAUUCAGGAGAAUUACAAGGACGCGCCGAAUGCAUCAAAAAUGAUUGCAGCCUUGCUCUGCUUUUCAUGGUCCCCGGCUGAUUUUCCCUCCUGCUGUACAUUCAGGUAGCGACGGCAGCGUCGGACCUCGCUGUAAUCAUGGUGAUCGAGUCUGCCUGAUCAAAGGUCCACAUCCAGUUUGCUCUGUUUCUCACUUCAACUUGAUUCUCAGGAAGGAAUAAACUGUUUGGUUUUGUUUUUUGUCACUGCGGCUACAUGACACGAGGCCUUUAAGCCAUUUUAGCUCAUAAAAAGUGAACAAAUGAAAACACUGGUGCUCAUUUGCGAUAAAAUCCCACAUGCUCUCGCUCGCGCUCUGCGUCUAAUGUAACCUCUUACAAAUGAAAUAAUCAACAUGUUGCUUGCAACAUGAGUCAUUAAUUGAUAUUGAUAUCGCCCGGCCCUUAAAGUUGUCCCACUGCGCCAGAAGAAGCCUGCGUUUAAAUCCCCCGUUUCCUCGAGUGGGAAGCCAGAGAUUAGUCCAACGGCGACGUCCACAGCACGGACGGUGGUGUCCUUUGAUUGAGCUGUUGUCAUGGUUACCUGGCCGUUCAAUAGAUAC